rnacentral:rRNA from 1 species
UACGAAGGGGGCUAGCGUUGUUCGGAAUCACUGGGCGUAAAGCGCACGUAGGCGGAUCUUUAAGUCAGGGGUGAAAUCCCGAGGCUCAACCUCGGAACUGCCUUUGAUACUGGGGAUCUCGAGUCCGGGAGAGGUGAGUGGAACUCGUGAGUGUAGAGGUGAAAUUCGUAGAUAUUAGGAAGAACACCAGUGGCGAAGGCGGCUCACUGGCCCGGUACUGACGCUGAGAUACGAAAGCGUGGGGAGCAACAGG